rnacentral:misc_RNA from 1 species
GAAAUGCGAUAACUAAUGUGAAUUGCAGAAUUCAGUGAAUCAUCGAGUCUUUGAACGCACAUUGCGCCCCCUGGUAUUCCGGGGGGCAUGCCUGUCCGAGCGUCAUUGCUGCCCUCAAGCCCGGCUUGUGUGUUGGGUCGCCGUCCCCCUCUCCGGGGGGACGGGCCCGAAAGGCAGCGGCGGCACCGCGUCCGAUCCUCGAGCGUAUGGGGCUUUGUCACCCGCUCCCGUAGGUCCAGCUGGCAGCUAGCCUCGCAACCAAUCUUUUUAACCAGGUUGACCUCGGAUCAGGUAGGGAUACCCGCUGAACUUAAGC